AGGAUAAGCGACAUCGGGGCAGGUCCUGGGUAGAGUCCAGGUUGGCGGUUCCUGGGGCAGGGCCAGGAUAGGGCGAUCCUGGAAGCUGGGCUUCGGAAGCGUCCAGGUUGGUGGCGUCCUGGAGGCGGUGCCUUGCGUGGGGGCAGGAUAAGAGUCCUGGAGGCGGGCAUUAGGGCGCGGAUAAACGCCAUUGGAUUCAGGAGGCGGGACCCAGAGCAGAGCCCAGGAGACAGGUCUUAGGGCGGGGCUAAGGCCAGGCCCAGAGAAGGGCUCAGGAGGCGGGGCAGGGGCGGGGCGUUGACUAUGUCGUAGAACAUGGCCAGGCGGUGCGCGGACUCUGGGAGGCGAAGCUUAGGACGGGCCCACUUGGGGAGGGGCCCAGUGCCCGGGAGGCGGGGCCGAGUCCGGGCUGGGCUGCGCUCAGGAGGCGGGCCCUGGGAGGCGGAGCUUAGGGAGGGGCCGGUGUUGGGAGGGACCCAGGGACUGGGAGGCCGGUUGGGGCUGGGCUCAGGGGCCGAGACCUAGCUGGGCUUGGGGCGGGGCCGAGACGGAGCGAGGGGUCCAGGGUGUGGGAAACGGGGAGGGGUUUGAGGAGGGGAUCGGAAUGUGGCUCAAGUUCGGGAGGCGUUACCUGCGGAGGGUUUGAGGCAGGCCCAGGAGCGAGCCCAUGGUCUUCCGACGCGGGGCCAGGGGCGGGGCCCAGGAUCCGGAGCUUCGUGCGGGGCCGAGUCCAGGUUUGGGGCCCGGGAGGCGGGGCCAGUUAGGGCGAGGGUCCCUGGGAUCGUCGGUCCAGGUUUGGGGCCCGGGAGGCGGGGCCAGUUAGGGCGACUGUCCCUGGGAUCGUCGGGUCAGGCCUUGGGCUAACGUAGGCACUCUCGCAGUUCCUCCGCCUUCAGGAAGGUCUUUUCAGCAGGGGCCUUACGGGUGCAUGCUUCGGUCCUGGAGGCCUUAUCCUAGCCUCCUCUCCAUCAGCGCCACCCGUCUGGGGCCCGAAAGGAGGGAGCUUUCCCUCUGUCCCCCAGCCUUUGGACUGUCACCAAACAAGCCAUUCGUUCAUCAAAUACUUUUUAAGCGCCUACCAUGUGCCUGACAAGGGAGAUGUAACGGUGAGAAAAACUAGGUGUGGUCCAGGCCCUUCAGGGGCUCAGGUGCUCGUGGAAGAAGUGGACAUUGAAGUACUUAUCACACAAAUGAGGAUAAAAGUACGAUAGCGAUAUCUACCACGAAGCUGGGGAAACUGAGUUACAGAGCUUGUCUGCACUGAGUCAUCAGGAGCAAAUGCUAGAUCAGAUAGGGUCUCUCUCUCUGCCACCCAGGCCAGAGUGCAGUUGACGCAGGGCAGGGGAGCCCCGAAGUGGAGCAUAGUGUGUCCGGAACUGGUGGGUUCUUGGUCUCACUGACUUCAAGAAAGAAGCCGCGGACCCUCGCGAAACUCCUGGAGGGCAGAGGCAUGCCUGCCAUCUUCAUCAUUGCAUUACCACCACCCAACACUAUCGGGGGACCUGCCCUGAUAAUCAGAAUGAUGGCAGCAGCCCAUAUGGGUGGCCCGCCCAUGAUGCCAAAGAUGGGCCCUCCUCCUCCUGGGAUGAUGCCAGUGGGACCUGCUCUUGGAAUGAGGCCGCCCAUGGGAGGCCACAUGCCUGUGAUGCCUGGGUGCCCAAUGAUAAGACCUCCUGCCCGUCUCAUGAUGGUGCCCAGUCAGCCCAGAAUGACUUGACCAGACAGAUAAGGAUAGAGGGGAGGCCUCAUUGCAUCAGUGUUGUUUUGUUGUUGUUAUUGUUGUGUUUUUUUUGUUUGUAAUGUUUUGUUUUGUUUUUGAGACAGAGUCUUCCUCUGUCGCCUAGGCUGGAGGGCAGUGGCAUGAUCUCAGCUCACUGAAACCUCCACCUCCCGGGUUCAAGCGAUUCCCCUGCCUCAGCCUCCUGAGUAGUGUGGGACUACAGGCGUAUUCACCAUGCCCGGCUAAUUUUUUUUAUUUUAGUAGAAACGGGGUUUCACCAUGUUGGCCAGGAUGGUCUCAAUCUCCUGACCUCGUGACUCGCUCGCCUCAGCCUCUGAAAGUGCUGGGAUUACAGGUGUGAGCCACUGCGCCUGGCCUAUAUGAAUUUUAUAUUUACCUGCUCCCUUCACCAGGAGAUCAUGCUGCUGUGAUGUCGAGUUUUCUUAACAGCAUAAGGAAGACUUGCCCUCUUGCCCUAUCAAAGAGAAUAGUUUUGGAGGGGAGAAGUGGGACCAAAAAAGAUGCAGUUUUCAUUUGUAUUGGGAAAUGUGAAAAUAAAAUUGACAACUCUUUUAGUUAAAAACAAAAAAAAGAAAAGGAAACAAGAUGUGGGGCUGCCAUAUGUAAUACCGUGGAUUCCACGGAUCUUCUACUCUGGAGGCAAAUAUUAUCUUUGCUGAAGCCAGACCAACCUGACACAAAGACCUUUUGUUUUUUUAAUGUGACUGUGUUUUAUUUUAGAAUGUGUAAUUCACUUUAGAAGGGCAAAGUACCUGUCUGGGGAAGACUAUUUAAUUUCCUGCAUUUAUUUAGAAUGUUGGCUGAUGUUAUUAUGAAGGGAAACAGCUCUAACAACUGAGUGCCCCCCACAUAGCCACAGCUCAUGAGUUCACGGGGCAAAGGAAAUGAACAGCAGCCUCCUAAUAGCCAGCCUUCUUUGUGAUGUGGAAAUAAUUAUCAGCAUGUAAAAGACUAUAUAUAUAUUCAACAAUUCUGAUCCCCUGAAAAAUUCAAAUCUACAACUGAUUUGCUUCCUGGGCUCCUGAAAACAACUUUGUCAAAAUUGUUCAGAAAUAUAAUCAGCCAAUCGUUGCCCCUUGGGGACGCAGGAUAAAGCAAGUCAGCCAUGACCAAUGAGGAGUCGGCCGUGCACAAUUACAUGCAGACCUGCAGGACAUCGAGUCCCUGCUAUGGUCCCUCCCCAGUCAGACCCCCAUUGCCUGGGCUGCAGCCAGAAGCAUUCAGGCACAAGUGCAUUCAACAAAUACUUAUUUAAUUGUAUUGGUGGUUAGAGGGUUGCGAUUGAUUAAGGCACAUUAAUGGAUCCGUGUCCUCCCUGUAUCCAAGAUUCUGCCAUUUGUCUCUGCAGUUCCUCCCACUGAAGAAUCGGAGUAUAUUUCUCCAGUCCCUAAUGUUGGGUUUAGUCAUGUGUCUAGCUUUGGCCACUGGAAUAUUAAUCUGUAUGACCAAAAACUUGGAAAGUGUGAAUUCAUUUCUGCUCACUCACUCCUGCUAUCACCAUGAGAACAAGCCCAGGCCAGACUGCUGCUUCCAGCAGAAGAGACAGCAAGAGCAACGUCGAGCUUCCCAGACAUGCUCAUGCUAGAUUGACCAAUCCUCAGCUGACCCAUAGAUCCAUGAAAAUAAACGAUUGUUGUAUUAAGCCACUGAGAUUUGGAGUGACUUGUUAUGCAGCAUUUUGUGACAACAACUAACUGACACAAGAGUCACCGUCCUUUAUCUCUGUAGAUUUUAACCAAUUUUAAUAGCUAGAUGGAGAUCUUCUAGUUGCCUUUAUUUAUAAUGAAUAUGACUGUAGAGCUAGUUUGGCCUGACACUACCAGUAACCUACCCAGAAAUUCAGAAAUACUUUCUUCUCCAACCCGCCCAAACCAACUUUUUGUUUGUUUGUUUUUGGGUUCUCCCUCUUUGCCUAGGCUAGAGUACAAAUGGUACAGUCAGAGCUCACUGUAGCCUCAAAAUACUGGGCUCAAGUGAUCUUCCCCUUCAGCCUCCUAUGUAGCUAAGACUACAGACAUGUGCCACCAUGCCUGGCUAAUUUUUUUAUUCUUUGCAGACAGAGGGUCUCACUAUAUUGCCCAAGUUGGUUUCAAACUCCUGGCUUCAAGCAGUCCUCCUGCCUCACCCUUCCAAAGUGCUAGGAUUAUAGGCAUGAGCCACCACACCCAGCCUCUUCUUCUUUUUAAAUAGAAACCUUAUUUUAUUCUGACAGUGGGUUGCUUUUUUUUUUUUUUUUUAAAGAAAAAGUUGGCCCAGCCCCAGGGAAUAAAUUUUGACUGCUCUAAACAACCAUAGACCAAGGGCCAAAUCUGGCCCUCUGACUGUAUAAAUUAAGUUUUACUGGAAUAAAACCAGGUCCAUUGAUUUAUCCAUUGUCUACAUACGCUUUUAGGCUACGAUGGCACCACUGUGUCACUACAAAAGAGGUUAUCUAGACAAAAAGCCUAAAAUAUUACCGUUUGCCUCUUUAUGGAAAAAGUUUGCCAUUCCCUAGUCUAAGGUUUAGAUUCUGAGCUUAUCAUGUUAUCCUACCCCCCCUCACCAGUGACUGGCUCAAAACAAGUCUGUGAUUCCAUUCUGACUGUUCUACUGAGGGAAUUCCGCCUUCUUCUCAUGCAGAGCUGAUGAGGGUAAGUUGUAUUAAUAGGACAUAUGCUCAGGUUUUCUGAAAAAUACUUUUAUCUAGAAAUGCAUAGGAAUAUGCUGGUGCCUGAAUGUACCAUCCGGGGACCUGGAGAUUGACUCACCUGCCUCCAGAGCUGGUGCUCACACUUACUACUGAGAGGCCUGAGGAAACGCCUGCCUACCCACCACCAGAACCUGUAUAGGUCACCUGGAGAACUAGAGAUCAGCCUGCCACACACACCACCCAGGAGCCCAGUGGUGCACCUGCCCAUCUGGCCCACUGCCAGCAACCAAAGAAGCCACCUGGAGUCCCAGGGAUUGGCCCACACAGACAGGCUAUCAUCAGUGCCCACAAACGCUGCCCAUGGUCCCUAGUAUUGACACACCUGGUCCACCGCCACUACCACUGAUGCUGAAGGACAAGACUUCCUGGCAUCCCCAUCCUCAGCAAAGCCUCACCAAAGCCUCCAAUAACAACUGCAGUCUGGCCAAGUGUGGUGGCUCACGCCUGUAAUCCCAGCACUUUGAGAUGCCGAGGCGUGUAGAUCACGAGGUCAGGAGUUCGAGAGCAGCCUGGCCAACAUGGUGAAACCCCGUCUCUACUAAAAAUACAAAAUUUAGCUGGGCAUGGUUGCACGUGCCUAUAGUCCCAGCUACUCAGGAGGCUGAGGCAGGAGAAUUGGUUGAACACGGGAGGCAGAGGAUACAGUGAGCUGAGAUUGUGCCACUGCACUCCAGCCUGGUGACAGAGCUAGACUCCAUCUCAACAACCACCAAAAAAAACCACUGCAGUCUAAGCCACUGAAUGACUCACAGGCACCACCCAUGCCAAUUACAGCUGAAGGAAUCAUAUGCAAACUAUACUACUGUACCCACCCAGAAUCAAAGCCAAAGUGUGAUAUCCAAUGAACACUGUAGAUACAGCUGUAAGAAAAGGUCUUUCCCAUAUAAAAGCCAAUCCAUAAAAUUGGAAGAAAUGACUGUUAUGUCAGAGGCACAGAUAGUCACAUAAGGAUGCAAGAAAUAUGAAAAAGGAAACAUAACAUCUCAAAGAAGCACAAUAAUUCUCCAGC
rnacentral:lncRNA from 1 species